rnacentral:miRNA from 1 species
AAAGUGUUUACGUUUCGGU